GGUACAUUGACGUUGUGGCAGGCUUAUGCAAUGUAUGAUCAUAUACUGUAGUUGAGUGAGUGCUUUGGACCUUGUAUGAUAUAUAAAUAUAUAUGUAUACACACGGGGCUUUUAUUUACAAUUUAUAAAUCCAAUGCUACUAGCCUAACCUUAAACUGUACUGGCCACUGCAAGCUACAGCAUACCCACAAGGGGUGACAUUGUACUUGUUAGGGAUAAAAUGGAAUUUGCCAAUGACUAGCAGGGAGUGGGAAUUUUGAGCCCUGUAUAUGCAUUAUUAAAUAGUCAAAUACUGGAUCUUUUAGAAAUGGUAUGAAAAACAUAAAAUACAAUGCGCUUCUUCUAUAAAUGGUUCUAAUUCUGCAAGUUUUACUUAGGUCUUCUGUGGGGAUACUAUCUGACAUUGGAGGUUGCCAGUGGUGAGCAAUGUUUUAUGUUGGUAUUAGCCGUUUCACAGCUCGGAGCAAGAUAAUAAUAAGGACCCCCACUCCAUGGAAAGUCCGAACGGUAACACUCUGCUGAUGCUGAACAUAAGAUAGUGUUUAAAUGGAUAAUUAUUUUUUAAAAGUGUAGGAAAGCUAUUAUAUGGUCUGUAGCUGAGGAAAGGCCUAAACAUGCUAAACUGUUACCUUACAGCUUUUAUGGCCCAAAUUAACUCUUUAUCUAAUUCUAAUCACUGUAGUGGAGAUAUUCACUAAACAGGGAAUAUGUUGAAAAUUGAAAAUCAAAUUCAGUCCAAAAAAACAAAAAUAAACAGCCAACCUGUAAAUGUAAACAAGUCUGAAAUGUUUUUCCAUUUUGGACAGAAUUUUGCAAGUCACUCUAAUUCACUAUUUAUAAAAAAAAAAGCAUUACACUCACAGAUUUAAAGGGAUCCUAUAGUGUUAGGAAUAGAAAGUUGUAUUCCGAACACUAUGUCAUUUGUCGAACGGGGGGAGGGAGGGCUAAUGUACAUGUGCGGCAAGUAUCGCAAACACUUUGCCACAAUGCUUUAUCGGGAUUUUACGUGAGGCUAUCCAGCAUCAUCUAGGCGAUCUGGAGUCUGCUACCAUCCAGGAAAUGCUUCUAGUGGCUGUCUGAUUAACAGCCACUAGAGGCAGUCUUAGUCCUGCAAGGUAAUUAAUCGCAGUGUCUCUAAAACUGCAAUGUUUUAAAUUGCAGGACUAUGGGUGACAAGGCUACUGCACCAAGACCACUUCAAUGAGAUGAAGCAGUGUGGGUGCUUAUAGUCAGGGGCCAAGUCCUG